rnacentral:rRNA from 1 species
UACGUAGGAGGCGAGCGUUGUCCGGAUUCAUUGGGCGUAAAGAGCGCGUAGGCGGCUUGGUAAGUCGGAUGUGAAAAUCCGAGGCUCAACCUCGGACGUGCAUCCGAUACUGCUCGGCUAGAGGUAGGUAGGGGAGAUCGGAAUUCCUGGUGUAGCGGUGAAAUGCGCAGAUAUCAGGAGGAACACCGGUGGCGAAGGCGGAUCUCUGGGCCUUACCUGACGCUCAGGCGCGAAAGCUAGGGGAGCGAACUGG